CCUACGGGAGGCUGCAGUGGGGAAUAUUGCACAAUGGGGGAAACCCUGAUGCAGCGACGCCGCGUGAGUGAAGAAGUAUUUCGGUAUGUAAAGCUCUAUCAGCAGGGAAGAAAUAGCGACCUUUGGGUCGCCAGACGGUACCUGAUUAAGAAGCCCCGGCUAACUACGUGCCAGCAGCCGCGGUAAUACGUAGGGGGCGAGCGUUAUCCGGAUUUAUUGGGUUUAAAGGGUGCGCAGGCGGAAUGUCAAGUCAGCGGUAAAAUUUCGGGGCUCAACCCCGUCGUGCCGUUGAAACUGGCGUUCUUGAGUGAGCGAGAAGUAUGCGGAAUGCGUGGUGUAGCGGUGAAAUGCAUAGAUAUCACGCAGAACUCCGAUUGCGAAGGCAGCAUACCGGCGCUCAACUGACGCUCAUGCACGAAAGCGUGGGUAUCGAACAGGAUUAGAUACCCCUGUAGUC
rnacentral:rRNA from 1 species